GUGAACGCUGGCGGUAGGCCUAACACAUGCAAGUCGAACGGCAGCACAGUAAGAGCUUGCUCUUACGGGUGGCGAGUGGCGGACGGGUGAGGAAUACAUCGGAAUCUACUUUUUCGUGGGGGAUAACGUAGGGAAACUUACGCUAAUACCGCAUACGACCUACGGGUGAAAGCAGGGGAUCUUCGGACCUUGCGCGAUUGAAUGAGCCGAUGUCGGAUUAACUAGUUGGCGGGGUAAAGGCCCACCAAGGCGACGAUCCGUAGCUGGUCUGAGAGGAUGAUCAGCCACACUGGAACUGAGACACGGUCCAGACUCCUACGGGAGGCAGCAGUGGGGAAUAUUGGACAAUGGGCGCAAGCCUGAUCCAGCCAUACCGCGUGGGUGAAGAAGGCCUUCGGGUUGUAAAGCCCUUUUGUUGGGAAAGAAAAGCAGCAGGUUAAUACCCCGCUGUUCUGACGGUACCCAAAGAAUAAGCACCGGCUAACUUCGUG
rnacentral:rRNA from 1 species